CCAAUAGCGUAUAUUAAAGUUGUUGCAGUUAAAAAGCUCGUAGUUGAAUUUCGGGAUCAAUAUGUCGGUCGUGCCUCCGGUACGUACUGGCGUUAUUGGUUUCUCCCUUCUGACGAACCCCGAUGUCAUUAAUUUGGUGUCAUGGGGAAUCAGGACUGUUACUUUGAAAAAAUUAGAGUGUUUAAAGCAGGCUCACGCUUGAAUACAUUAGCAUGGAAUAAUGAAAUAGGACGUUUGAUUCUAUUUUGUUGGUUUCUAGGAUCGACGUAAUGAUUAAUAGGGAUAGUUGGGGGCAUUAGUAUUCAAUUGUCAGAGGUGAAAUUCUUGGAUUUAUUGAAGACUAACUACUGCGAAAGCAUUUGCCAAGGAUGUUUUCAUUAAUCAAGAACGAAAGUUAGGGGAUCGAAGACGAUCAGAUACCGUCGUAGUCUUAACCAUAAACUAUGCCGACUAGGGAUCGGAUGAUGUUAAUUUUUUAAUGACUCAUUCGGCGCCUUACG
rnacentral:rRNA from 1 species